GUGAUGGCUCAGUUGGUAGAGCAUGGCACUUAAUCUCAAGGUUGUGGGUUCAAGCCCCACUUUGGGCA